rnacentral:rRNA from 1 species
UACGUAGGGGGCUAGCGUUGUCCGGAACCAUUGGGCGUAAAGCGCGUGUAGGCGGCUCGGUAAGUCUGUUCUGAAAGUCCAGGGCUCAACCCUGGGAUGCGGAUGGAUACUGCCGAGCUCGAGUCCGGAAGAGGCGAGUGGAAUUCCUGGUGUAGCGGUGAAAUGCGCAGAUAUCAGGAGGAGCACCAAUGGCGAAGGCAGCUCGCUGGGACGUGACUGACGCUGAGACGCGAAAGCGUGGGGAGCAAACAGG